CCUACGGGAGGCAGCAGUGGGGAAUAUUGCGCAAUGGGCGAAAGCCUGACGCAGCGACGCCGCGUGAGGGAUGAAGGUCUUCGGAUCGUAAACCUCUGUCAGCAGGGAAGAACGGUCACUGUGCUAAUCAGCAGUGCAUUGACGGUACCUGCAAAGGAAGCACCGGCUAACUCCGUUCCAGCAGCCGCGGUCAUACGGAGGGUGCGAGCGUUAAUCGGAAUUACUGGGCGUAAAGCGCUCGUAGGCGGUAUGUCAAGUCAAGGGUGAAAUCCCCGCGCUCAACGUGGGAGCUGCCGUUGAAACGGGCAAACUGGAGUGUGUGAGAGGAUAGUGGAAUUCCAGGUGUAGGAGUGAAAUCCGUAGAUAUCUGGAGGAACAUCAGUGGCGAAGGCGACUAUCUGGCACAUAACUGACGCUGAGGAGCGAAAGCGUGGGUAGCAAACAGGAUUAGAUACCCGUGUAGUC
rnacentral:rRNA from 1 species